rnacentral:lncRNA from 1 species
AACCACUUGUACUUCAGCUACCAAUUGGUGCAGAAGAUAGCUUUAAGGGAGUUAUUGAUCUCGUUAGGAUGAAAGCUAUAGUUUGGGGUGGAGAAGAACUAGGUGCCAAGUUUUCUUAUGAAGAUAUACCUGCAGAUCUCCUAGAUCAGGCUCAGGAUUACAGAUCUCGGUUGAUUGAAGCCGUAGUUGAGUUAGAUGACGAGGCUAUGGAGAACUACCUAGAAGGAGUUGAACCGGAUGAAGAAACUGUAAAAAAAUUAAUCAGGAAGGGAUCCAUAGCCGCCACUUUUGUGCCAGUGUUGUGUGGAUCAGCUUUCAAAAACAAGGGAGUCCAACCAUUGCUAGAUGCCGUAGUGGAUUAUCUACCAUCACCACUUGACGUACCACCAAUGAAUGGUACCGACCCUGAAAAUCCAGAAGCAACAAUAGAGAGGAUAGCAAGUGACGAUGAACCAUUUUCUGGACUAGCUUUUAAGAUCAUGAGUGAUUCAUUUGUAGGUUCCCUUAC